rnacentral:rRNA from 1 species
CAACGCCGCGUGAGUGAAGAAGGUUUUCGGAUCGUAAAGCUCUGUUGUUAAGGAAGAACACCAUGGAUAGGAAAUGAUCGAUGGAUGACGGUACUUAACCAGAAAGCCGCGGCUAACUACGUGCCAGCCACGGCGGUGACUGAGCGGGCUGGCAAGGCGCAUA